AAGGUCAAGAAAAGAAGGGCCGAUGGUGGAUACCUAGGCACACAGAGG
rnacentral:rRNA from 1 species